rnacentral:pre_miRNA from 1 species
UUUAAGUGCAACUAUAAGUUUCCGUGCCUAACUUUGAUCGUCCGUCUUAUUUGAAUUUUUUUUAUAAUUAGUAUUUUUGUUGUUAUAAGAUGAUAAAACAUGAACAAUAUUUUACUCGUGACUUAUAUUUUAAAUUUUUUUAAAUAAGACGGACGAUCAAAGUUGUGCGCGGAAAACCAUGGCUGCACUUAAA